UUGUUGUCUUUAGUAGGAAUCAUAAUCCUAACACAGAUUCUCAAUCAGACAAAAAUUCCUAGUUUUUGAAGGAAAAUUUAAAAUUCACGACUAUAACUAUAAUAAUCAUAAUUAUAACAAUAUACAAGCUUACAUGUACUUAAAAACAUUGAUUAUUCCUGAAAAUUAGUAGCUCAUUAACAUGGGCUUCUAAACUGUAUACAUGUAACUGACCCCUCAAGAAAUAUCUCACGUAAUAGUCGUCUAAACAAUGAAAUACACUAGUAAGGAUGGAAGAAAAUUAAAAUAGAACAAUAAUCAACCUACAUUUUUAGGGCUUUAUGGUGGGAUCGUAUAGAAGACAGGG
rnacentral:lncRNA from 1 species